AAGGCUGAAGGCCAUUGCUAGAGGAACAGCGUGGGAGAGACAUGGAGGUGCGAGAUCCUGGAGUGAGUAGUUCAGUUUGCCACAAACCCUCAUGGCAGAUGUGCUAGUCACUGCUCAAGGCAGACAGCCUCCCAGGUGAGCGGAAGGAACCAGGUGGCAUACCAGGUUUGUUGCUCCAGGUUGGCCGAGGGUGUUCCUUUUGGAGUCACCCUGAUGCAUGUGUACCCAGGUGCCUUCCUACCCUCCCAGGAGCCACACCUCUGAUGGCGCCCAACAGUAGCUGAGGUGGGGGCAGGGAAGGCUGGAGAGGUCAGUUCCAUUUUCCUGGAAGAGUGUUUCUGAGGUGGGACCUCUGGAGUCUGGGGAAGCUUUUUCUGUCGUCUGAAUGAUUUUGCUGGGAACCUGACAAUAGUUGUAUUACAUUUGCGUCGUGGCUUUACAUCAUUUCUUUGGUUGGCCUGGACCAGUUAGAGUCACCCAGCAGGUAAUAUUUAUUUAACACUGUGUACGUUACAUUACAGGAUGAUGCAAAGCAAGCCAACAAUGACAUUCCUCUCGAUCGCUUGACAAUAUCUUAUUGUCGGAGUAGUGGUCCUGGAGGCCAGAAUGUUAACAAAGUGAAUUCCAAGGCUGAAGUCAGGUUCCAUUUGGCAACUGCCGACUGGAUCGCAGAGCCUGUGCGGCAGAAGAUGGCCAUCACG